UACGAAGGGGGCUAGCGUUGCUCGGAAUCACUGGGCGUAAAGGGGUCGUAGGCGGGGCUUUAAGUCAGGGGGGAAAUCCUGGAGCUCAACUCCAGAACUGCCUUUGAUACUGAAGAUCUUGAGUUCGGGAGAGGUGAGUGGAACUGCGAGUGUAGAGGUGAAAUUCGUAGAUAUUCGCAAGAACACCAGUGGCGAAGGCGGCUCACUGGCCCGAUACUGACGCUGAGGCACGAAAGCGUGGGGAGCAAACAGG
rnacentral:rRNA from 1 species